rnacentral:rRNA from 1 species
ACACAUGCAGUCGACGAACCCUUCGGGUUAGUGGCGCACGGGUGCNGUAACGCGUGGGANCCUGCCUUUAGGUUCGGAAUAACAGUUAGAAAUGACUGCUAAUACCGGAUAAUGUCUUCGGACCAAAGAUUUAUUGCCUUUAGAUGGGCCCGCGUUGGAUUAGAUAGUUGGUGGGGUAAUGGCCUACCAAGUCGACGAUCCAUAGCUGGUCUGAGAGGAUGAUCAGCCACACUGGGACUGAGACACGNCCAGACUCCUACGGGAGGAGCAGUGGGGAAUAUUGGACAAUGGGCGAAGCCUGAUCAGCAUGCCGCGUGAGUGAUGAG